GUAGGGAAUAUUGGACAAUGGGCGAAAGCCUGAUCCAGCCAUGCCGCGUGAUAGAUGAAGGCCCUCUGGGUUGUAAAUAUCUUUUAUCUGGGAAGAAACUCCUCUAUUCUUAGAGGCCUGACGGUACCAGAGGAAUAAGCACCGGCUAACUCCGUGCCAGCAGCCGCGGUAAUACGGAGGGUGCAAGCGUUAUCCGGAUUCACUGGGUUUAAAGGGUGCGUAGGCGGGUUGAUAAGACAGUGGUGAAAGCUCCGGGCUUAACUUGGAAACUGCCAUGGAUACUGUCAGUCUUGAAUGUCGUAGAGGUAAGCGGAAUGUUGCAUGUAGCGGUGAAAUGCUUAGAUAUGUUACAGAACACCAAUUGCGAAGGCAGCUUACUAUGCGAUAAUUGACGCUGAGGCACGAAAGCGUGGGGAGCAAACAGGAUUAGAUACCCCUGUAGUCC
rnacentral:rRNA from 1 species